CCUUCGUCUGAUCCGGCAGAAUCUUAUGCGCUUACUGCGGCACUGAACGGGUCGAUACCCCAUAACUUAGUACCAUCGUUAGAGCGUGAACAACAGGGAUAUAAAACCGGGUUCGCCCCCCUAGUUUUCGUCCCUCAGCGUCAGUUGAGGCCCAGAAAGACCGCCUUCCCCACGGGUGUUCCUCCAGAUAUAUAAACAUUUCCCCGCUACACGGGGAAUUCCCCCUCCCUCUCCAGCACUCAAGUAAAACAGUUUCAAUUGCCUCUCCGCGGUUGACCCGGGAUCUUUCACACCAGAUUUAAAUGCCCGCCUGCGGACUUUUUACCCCGAAUAUUUCAAGAAAACGCUCGCCCCUUCUAUUUAACCGGGUUUGUGGUCAGAAAUUUACCGGAGAUUUAUUCCUGAGGACCUGUAUUUUCUUCUUCCCCAAAAAAAUUUUCUAACCUCAGAGCUUCCUUACUCCACCAGGCGGGGUUGCUCCUGGUGGCCCCCACUCGUUAAAAAAACCCCCUGGCUGCUGCCUGAAGGAGGNCCCCCGGUUUGUCAUUUUCUUUCCCGCAAAUUCAAUUUUGAGUAGAAAAUUCUCUUUUUUUUUUUUCUUCCCUUCAUACGCAUUUCAAACUUUACCUAUCCUGAAUUGGGACAGAUUUCAAGUGAUUCAGUUAACUAAACAGAAAAUACAUUCCAUCUUGCCUAAUCAUUCUGCAUGCUUCGAUGAACAAUGAACCAAGAUGGAAUUUUUUGAUUAUUGGAAAACUUAAAAUCCUCCGGUAUUGACAUGAGGGAAUGUCUACAAUACCUGCGUUUAUCGGAUCUAGUCAGAUACUAGGUNUUUCG
rnacentral:rRNA from 1 species